rnacentral:rRNA from 1 species
CCUACGGGAGGCAGCAGUAAGGAAUAUUGGUCAAUGGACGAAAGUCUGAACCAGCCAUGCCGCGUGAAGGAUUAAGGUCUCUCUGGAUUGUAAACUUCUUUUAUAUGGGACGAAAAAAGGUNCUUUCCUAGAUGCAACUUGACGGNACCAUAUGAAUAAGCACCGGCUAACUCCGUGCCA